AUCUCUACUUGGAGAUUACUUUCUUUGGAGUGUUUAGUGAGCCCUGAUUCUUGGAAGGGGUGACUCCUUGUUAGCUUUGAAUCAGUGGAACUUAACCUCUGAGUAAAACUGAAGAUGGGAGAAGCCUGUCCCGUACAUCCCGUGCCCCCGCAAGACGCUUACUACAACAUGCAUGACAUAUAGAUCUGGAAGAAUACCUCAGAAAAGUUCUAGAAUGUUUGUUAUAAUAAUAAUGGCAAUGAUAAGUAAGUUUGUUUGUUUGAUAAGCACUUACAGUGUUCUCAUAAUGAACUUGACUUGGCUGUGUUUACUCCUUUUAUGUUUACUUUUUGCAAAUGUUCAUUGGGUUUAUUAUUCUCACAGGAAUGUUUGCUGAAAUGUUCAUUUUAAAGAGGAUUUUGGAAGACAUUCUUAAAUUGUAAAUUUUAAACUCAUAAAUAUUAGAGCCAUUAGAGAGUAUUCAUUUACUUACGAAUUAUGGUUAUCAUCUUAGAGAACAAAAGAAAUGUUUUAUCCAAUUAUAGUUAACACAAGGGAAAAUAACAGAUUUUGCUAGCAAUGAGCUGCUUGAAUGUAAUGUGCCAAGUAAGAUAUUUUCUUAGCACUUGAAAUGUUAAUUCUGUAGUGAUUCCUACCAACUGAUGAACGUAGAUAUUGUGUGUAUUUCUCUACUCACGUGCCUCCCUCUGCAGGGUAUAUGGUUCUGUUGUAAACUUAACCAGGGAGAAGUUAAAUUCACAAAUCAGUCUUUUUGAUUGUGUGUGUUGUAUGUGCUUGUGGUGCUCAUAAAAAGAAAUCCUUAAUUCAUGUAAUCAAUGGCCAUAACAAAUCAUUC
ensembl:lncRNA